rnacentral:rRNA from 1 species
AGAGUUUGAUCCUGGCUCAGGACGAACGCUGGCGGCGUGCUUAACACAUGCAAGUCGAACGGUCGUAGCAAUACGAUAGUGGCGGACGGGUGAGUAACACGUGAACAAUCUGCCUUAUACAGGGGGAUAACACUGAGAAAUCAGUGCUAAUACCGCAUAAGACCACAGUGCCGCAUGGUACAGUGGUAAAAGGGUUACCGGUAUAAGAUGAGUUCGCGUCCCAUUAGGUAGUUGGUGAGGUAACGGCCCACCAAGCCCGCGAUGGGUAGCCGACCUGAGAGGGUGAUCGGCCACACUGGAACUGAGAUACGGUCCAGACUCCUACGGGAGGCAGCAGUGGGGAAUAUUGGGCAAUGGAGGAAACUCUGACCCAGCAACGCCGCGUGAGUGAAGAAGGUCUUCGGAUUGUAAAGCUCUGUGGAUAGGAAUGAAAAAAAUGACAGUACCUAUAGAGCAAGCCACGGCAAACUACGUGCCAGCAGCCGCGGUAAUACGUAGGUGGCAAGCGUUGUCCGGAAUGACUGGGCGUAAAGGGUGCGUAGGUGGCUGAUCAAGUUAGAAGUGUAAUACCUGGGCUUAACCUGGGUGCUACUUCUAAGACUGAUUAGCUUGAGUGUGGGAGAGGUAAGCGGAAUUCCUAGUGUAGCGGUGGAAUGCGUAGAUAUUAGGAGGAACACCAGCGGCGAAGGCGGCUUACUGGACCAUAACUGACACUGAGGCACGAAAGCGUGGGGUAGCAAACAGGAUUAGAUACCCUGGUAGUCCACGCUGUAAACUAUGGAUACUAGGUGUAGGGGGUAUGGACUCCCCCUGUGCCGUCGCAAAACGCAAUAAGUAUCCCGCCUGGGGAGUACGGUCGCAAGACUAAAACUCAAAGGAAUUGACGGGGACCCGCACAAGCAGCGGAGCAUGUGGUUUAAUUCGAAGCACGCGAAGAACCUUACCUAGACUUGACAUCUCCUGCAUUACUCUUAAUCGAGGAAGUCCCUUCGGGGACAGGAAGACAGGUGGUGCAUGGUUGUCGUCAGCUCGUGUCGUGAGAUGUUGGGUUAAGUCCCGCAACGAGCGCAACCCUUAUUGUUAGUUGCUACCAUUUAGUUGAGCACUCUAGCGAGACUGCCCGGGUUAACCGGGAGGAAGGUGGGGAUGACGUCAAAUCAUCAUGCCCCUUAUGUCUAGGGCUACACACGUGCUACAAUGGCUGGUACAGAGAGAUGCGAAACCGCGAGGUGGAGCUAAACUUCAAAACCAGUCUCAGUUCGGAUUGUAGGCUGAAACUCGCCUACAUGAAGCUGGAGUUGCUAGUAAUCGCGAAUCAGCAUGUCGCGGUGAAUACGAUCCCGGGCCUUGUACACACCGCCCGUCA